rnacentral:rRNA from 1 species
UACGUAGGGCGCAAGCGUUAUCCGGAAUUAUUGGGCGUAAAGGGCUCGUAGGCGGUUUGUCGCGUCGGGAGUGAAAACUCAGGGCUCAACCCUGAGCGUGCUUCCGAUACGGGCAGACUAGAGGUAUGCAGGGGAGAACGGAAUUCCUGGUGUAGCGGUGGAAUGCGCAGAUAUCAGGAGGAACACCGGUGGCGAAGGCGGUUCUCUGGGCAUUACCUGACGCUGAGGAGCGAAAGCAUGGGGAGCGAACAGG